AGUGAACGCUGGCGGUAGGCCUAACACAUGCAAGUCGAACGGCAGCACAGUAAGAGCUUGCUCUUACGGGUGGCGAGUGGCGGACGGGUGAGGAAUACAUCGGAAUCUACUUUUUCGUGGGGGAUAAAGUAGGGAAACUUACGCUAAUACCGCAUACGACCUACGGGUGAAAGCAGGGGCUCUUCGGACCUUGCGCGAUUGAAUGAGCCGAUGUCGGAUUAGCUAGUUGGCGGGGUAAAGGCCCACCAAGGCGACGAUCCGUAGCUGGUCUGAGAGGAUGAUCAGCCACACUGGAACUGAGACACGGUCCAGACUCCUACGGGAGGCAGCAGUGGGGAAUAUUGGACAAUGGGCGCAAGCCUGAUCCAGCCAUACCGCGUGAGUGAAGAAGGCCUUCGGGUUGUAAAGCCCUUUUGUUGGGAAAGAAAAGCAGCAGGUUAAUACCCCGCUGUUCUGACGGUACCCAAAGAAUAAGCACCGGCUAACUUCGUG
rnacentral:rRNA from 1 species